AUCUGGUGGAGCUGGACCAUAUGGGAAUUGUCAUGUGGGACGGAAUAGAGACUACACAAACCCACCCAGGGAUGCACCUUUAUUGAUACGAAACUGGGCUGAAGUAAAGGAUCGAAAAUGAAAGACAGUCCUGAUCAGCAAGCCAGGUUGAAGACAUGGGGUACAUCGCAGACAGUGGGACAGAUCCAUUGUGGGGAAUCAGAGGUUACUUAGAUGCAGGAAUAUUUGGUCUUUG